AAUAGUUACAAACAUCCGUUUCUAGUAAUAUAUAAAAUCGCGGGUGUUUAUUUUCGUUCAAAUAUCCGGUAUGCCGGGUGUGCGGUAAUUUCCUUUUCAUAUAUAACGAAAGGAAAAUUCGCGAAUAUGGCAUUACGUUACGAAAAAGUUGUUUUAUGUCGUGGUUUAUCGGAGAAAAAUGAUUCGCAAGAGGCAUACGUAAAAACCUUGAAAACGGCAGGUUAUUUGUGCGAUUGUUUGCCUACUUUGCGCUUUGAAUUCGUAAAUAUUUCGGAAUUGAGGACAUGUUUUUUAUCAUCAUCUUCAUACUAUGGACUUGUCCUGACAAGUCGUCGUGCUGCAGAGGCAAUUGAACUUUCUGCAAAAGAAGAUCCUGAUAUUCUACUUCCCUGGAAAACUUUGCCAGUGUAUUGUGUAGGACCAGCAACAGAGUCUUUUGCUAAAAGUCACUUAGGUUCAGAGAACUGCUUUGGUAAAGAGGCUGGUAAUGCCAAAGAAUUAGCAGAAUUGUUAGUGGCCUCGAUUGCAAAAAAGUCAAAACCUUUACUUUAUCCUUGUAGUGAAAUUGGACGCGAGACAAUAGAAAAGACUCUUAAUGAAAAUGACAUUAAAAUUCAUAAAAUAGUUGUUUAUAAAACUUUGGCUAGUAAAACUUUAGAACAUGAUCUAUUAAAAUUCAUGGACAAUGUGCCCAAAAUCUUCAUAUUUUUUAGUCCAUCUACAGUAGAAUACAUAGUAACAUUAUUGAAAAAAAAGUCUUAUGAUCUAAACAAUAUAAAAGCAGUUGCUAUUGGACCUGUGACUAGACAAGCAUUACUUGAUGCUGGUUUUAAAGUUUUUGCCACUGCAAACAAACCUGAUCCUGUAUCUUUGUUGGAUGCUAUUAAUAAUGCUGAUGAAAGUGAACUUAAUGAAAAGACUGAAUGAAGAAAUUAUUUACUGUUAUACUAUAUCAAGUCGCAAGAUCAAGGAUAGAAUUGCGAACAAGGAAGCGAGGAUCCAGGGUUAGUAACGUCGAAUAUGGUGAUUCCUGACCGGUGGAUCGGAGGUGGAUCGUUAAUGGAAGAAGGCCCGUCGUGAUUUCAAUCAGCCUGACCUCCGAUUUCCGACUUCCCUGUACGUGAUUCGGUCGUCACGGCUUCGUGACUCCAGCGAAAUCGAUCGAGCUUCAUCCGCGCCUUUCCUCUUCGAAGAAUGCGCGGGAAAGGGAAACAUGUUUGAAAAACGUGCUUCGAUCUCCCGCCUCCUUACUAAACAUUGCCGGUUCGAUUGAAAAAGACGACGGCGUAGUUGGACCGGGGGGAGAAGGACGAGGAGAGGAGUGGAAGGCCUGAUUUAACGAGGUGGCAUGCCAG